AUACGUAGGUGGCAAGCGUUGUCCGGAUUUAUUGGGCGUAAAGCGAGCGCAGGCGGUUUUUUAAGUCUGAUGUGAAAGCCUUCGGCUCAACCGAAGAAGUGCAUCGGAAACUGGGAGACUUGAGUGCAGAAGAGGACAGUGGAACUCCAUGUGUAGCGGUGAAAUGCGUAGAUAUAUGGAAGAACACCAGUGGCGAAGGCGGCUGUCUGGUCUGUAACUGACGCUGAGGCUCGAAAGUAUGGGUAGCAAACAGGAUUAGAUACCCUGGUAGUCCAUACCGUAAACGAUGAAUGCUAAGUGUUGGAGGGUUUCCGCCCUUCAGUGCUGCAGCUAACGCAUUAAGCAUUCCGCCUGGGGAGUACGGCCGCAAGGCUGAA
rnacentral:rRNA from 1 species